AAACAUAGCUCUUAGUGUAAUUAAGGAUUAAGAGUGAAGCCUGCCCGGUGAGAUUAUUUCUUUAACGGCUGCGGUAUUCUGACCGUACAAAGGUAGCAUAAUCAAUUGUUCCUUAAUUGGGGACUGGUAUGAAUGGCACAACGCAGAGAAACUGUCUCUUUUUGGUUUACUUAAAUUUGAGAAUGGAGUGCAGAAGCUCCACUAACAUAGAAGGACGAGAAGACCCUAGGAGCUUAAAAAGUAUAGAUGUUUACGUUUGAGGGGCAGAAUAAACCAUAUUCUACCGUCAAUAAAAUAGAUUUAUAUAUUUUUUUCAUUGGGGCGAUGUCGAGUCAAUAAAAACACUCGAAAUUAUAGUAAAAAAGUAUAGGAACCAAUGUUUAAUUUACAUUGAAUGAAACGAAGCUACCCUAGGGAUAACAGCUCAAUUUUUUCCUUGAGGCCUUAUCAGGGAGAUAGCUUGAGACCUCGAUGUUGGACUAGAGAAACCGACGGGUGCAGAAGCCCCUCUUUGUGAGACUGUUCGUCUCUUAAAUCUCUACAUGAUCUGA
rnacentral:rRNA from 1 species